UAUUCAGGGUGUGAUACGGGC
rnacentral:misc_RNA from 1 species